rnacentral:rRNA from 1 species
AUUGAACGCUGGCGGCAGGCCUAACACAUGCAAGUCGAACGCGUGGCGGACGGGUGAGUAAUGUCUGGGCAACUGCCUGAUGGAGGGGGCUAACUACUGGAAACGGUAGCUAAUACCGCAUACCAUCGGAUGUGCCCAGAGGGGAUUAGCUAGUAGGUGGGGUAACGGCUCACCUAGGCGACGAUCCCUAGCUGGUCUGAGAGGAUGACCGGCCACACUGGAACUGAGACACGGUCCAGACUCCUACGGGAGGCAGCAGUAGGGAAUAUUGCACAAUGGGCGCAAGCCUGAUGCAGCCAUGCCGCGUGUAUGAAGAAGGCCUUCGGGUUGUAAAGUACUUUCGUCGGGGAGGCGUUACCCAAAGAAGAAGCACCGGCUAACUACGUGCCAGCAGCCGCGGUAAUAC